GUGCCAGCAGCCGCGGUAAUACGUAGGUGGCAAGCGUUGUCCGGAAUUAUUGGGCGUAAAGCGCGCGCAGGCGGCUUCUUAAGUCUGAUGUGAAAUCUUGCGGCUCAACCGCAAGCGGUCAUUGGAAACUGGGAGGCUUGAGUGCAGAAGAGGAGAGUGGAAUUCCACGUGUAGCGGUGAAAUGCGUAGAGAUGUGGAGGAACACCAGUGGCGAAGGCGGCUCUCUGGUCUGUAACUGACGCUGAGGCGCGAAAGCGUGGGGAGCAAACAGGAUUAGAAACCCUUGUAGUCC
rnacentral:rRNA from 1 species